rnacentral:rRNA from 1 species
UCUGGCAGGGUCCCCCUGCCAGCGUGGCAGUGAGGUUUCUAAUGUCUCAGAGGCCGAUCAUCCCCGGUGCGGACCCUCAAACCCAAUAAUAAAAAAUCACCCCUCCUGCACUUCCGGUUGAUCCUGCCGGAGAUCACUGCUAUCGGUGUUCGACUAAGCCAUGCGAGUCAAAUGUUCUUCGUGAACAUGGCGAACUGCUCAGUAACACGUGGAUAACCUGACCUUGGGACCGGAAUAACCCCGGGAAACUGGGGAUAAUACCGGAUAGACCAUGAAAGCUGGAAUGCAUCGUGGUUCAAAGGAGAAAUCUGCCCAAGGAUGGGUCUGCGGCCUAUCAGGUAGUAGCGGGUGCAAUGUACCUGCUAGCCAAAUACGGGUACGGGUUGUGAGAGCAAGAGCCCGGAGAUGGAUUCUGAGACAUUAAUCCAGGCCCUACGGGGCGCAGCAGGCGCGAAAUCUUUACAAUGCGGGAAACCGCGAUAAGGGGACACCGAGUGCCAGCAUAUAAUGUUGGCUGUCCGUAUGUGUAAACGGCAUGCGAUAGCAAGGGCCGGGCAAGACCGGUGCCAGCCGCCGCGGUAACACCGGCGGCCCGAGUGGUGAUUACUAUUAUUGGGUCUAAAGGGUCCGUAGCCGGUUUGAUCAGUCCUCUGGGAAAUCUGACAGCUCAACUGUUAGGCUGCCAGGGGAUACUGUCAGACUUGGGACCGGGAGAGGUAAGAGGUACUGCAAGGGUAGGAGUGAAAUCUUGUAAUCCUUGUAGGACCACCAGUGGCGAAGGCGUCUUACCAGAACGGGUCCGACGGUGAGGGACGAAAGCUAGGGGCACGAACCGGAUUAGAUACCCGGGUAGUCCUAGCCGUAAACGAUGCUCGCUAUGUGUCAGGGAUGGUGCGACCGUUCCUGGUGCCGGAGGGAAGCCGUGAAGCGAGCCACCUGGGGAAGUAC